UGAACGCUAGCGGCAGGCUUAACACAUGCAAGUCGAGGGUAGUGGUUUGGACCAAGAGACCGGCGCACGGGUGCGUAACGCGUAUGCAAUCUACCUUUGCAGAGGGAUAGCCAGAGAAAUUGGAUUAAUACCUCAUAGUAUAGUACUUUGGCAUCAAGGAACUAUUAAAGUCACAACGGCAAAAGAUGAGCAUGCGUCCCAUUAGCUAGUUGGUAAGGUAACGGCUUACCAAGGCAACGAUGGGUAGGGGUCCUGAGAGGGAGAUCCCCCACACUGGUACUGAGACACGGACCAGACUCCUACGGGAGGCAGCAGUGAGGAAUAUUGGACAAUGGGCGCAAGCCUGAUCCAGCCAUGCCGCGUGCAGGAAUAAGGUCCUAUGGAUUGUAAACUGCUUUUAUACAGGAAGAAACACACCCUCGUGAGGGUACUUGACGGUACUGUAUGAAUAAGGACCGGCUAACUCCGUG
rnacentral:rRNA from 1 species